rnacentral:antisense_RNA from 1 species
UUCAUGGUGAAGUCCCAGAGAUCGCCGGAUUCGAUGAUAGCCUGGUAGGUGAAGUGAUCGCCAUCGGUCAACACCGCAAGCUCCACCUCAUCGCCAUACUUGCCCGUACCGAUUUUGCUGACCUUGCCACGGGCAAUCAGCACAAUCUGGUCGGCGGGGGUUCCCUUUUCCACCAGCACAUCACCAGGUUGAAACUCCUGCUGCACAAAGCGAUCUGCCAGCGCGUUCAACACCAUUUCCUCGUCAAACUCGCGCAACAGAGCCAUUUCGCGCAACUCUUGCGGGAUCACUCGUAUGGUGGACCCCACAUUGGUAAAGGUCACUCGGCCAUCGCCCAGCGCAUAGGUCAAACGCUGGUUGACCCGGUAGGAGCCGCCGCGCAGUUCCACCCAGGGCAACCGGCGGCUGAUCCAGCGCGAGCUGAUGCCCUGCAUCUGCGGAGUAGUCUUGGCGGUUGUGGCUAACUUGCGCGCCGCAUCUGUACUCAAGCUCGACUGCAUCGGUAUA